rnacentral:rRNA from 1 species
AUUGAACGCUGGCGGCAUGCCUUACACAUGCAAGUCGAACGGCAGCACGGGAGCAAUCCUGGUGGCGAGUGGCGAACGGGUGAGUAAUGUAUCGGAACGUACCUUUCAGUGGGGGAUAACGUAGCGAAAGUUACGCUAAUACCGCAUAUUCUGUGAGCAGGAAAGCAGGGGAUCGCAAGACCUUGCGCUGAUUGAGCGGCCGAUAUCAGAUUAGCUAGUUGGUGAGGUAAAGGCUCACCAAGGCGACGAUCUGUAGCGGGUCUGAGAGGAUGAUCCGCCACACUGGAACUGAGACACGGUCCAGACUCCUACGGGAGGCAGCAGUGGGGAAUUUUGGACAAUGGGCGCAAGCCUGAUCCAGCCAUGCCGCGUGAGUGAAGAAGGCC